rnacentral:rRNA from 1 species
UACGGGGGGUGCAAACGUUGCUCGGAAUUAUUGGGCGUAAAGCGCACGUAGGCGGCUCGUUAAGUCGGAUGUGAAAUCCCUCGGCUCAACCGAGGAAGUGCAUCCGAAACUGGCGAGCUUGAGUAUGGAAGAGGGUCUCGGAAUUCCCGGUGUAGAGGUGAAAUUCGUAGAUAUCGGGAGGAACACCAGUGGCGAAGGCGGAGACCUGGGCCAAUACUGACGCUGAGGUGCGAAAGCGUGGUGAGCAAACAGG